rnacentral:rRNA from 1 species
GAUGAACGCUAGCGGCAGGCCUAAUACAUGCAAGUCGAACGAUAGAAGAGGGCUUGCUCUCUUCGAAAGUGGCGUACGGGUGCGUAACGCGUAUGCAACCUACCUUAAUCAGGGGGAUAGCCCGAAGAAAUUCGGAUUAACACCGCAUAAAAUCACAGUACAGCAUUGUACAAUGAUCAAAUAUUUAUAGGAUUAAGAUGGGCAUACGUGACAUUAGCUAGUUGGCGGGGUAACGGCCCACCAAGGCGACGAUGUCUAGGGGAUCUGAGAGGAUGACCCCCCACACUGGUACUGAGACACGGACCAGACUCCUACGGGAGGCAGCAGUAAGGAAUAUUGGUCAAUGGAGGCAACUCUAAACCAGCCAUGCCGCGUGCAGGAAGACAGCCCUCUGGGUCGUAAACUGCUUUUAUUCGGGAAUAAACCUACUUACGUGUAAGUAGCUGAAUGUACCGAAGGAAUAAGGAUCGGCUAACUCCGUGCCAGCCGCCGCCGUAA